rnacentral:rRNA from 1 species
UACAGAGGUCUCAAGCGUUGUUCGGAUUCAUUGGGCGUAAAGGGUGCGUAGGUGGCGCCGUAAGUCGGGUGUGAAAUUUCGGAGCUUAACUCCGAAACUGCAUUCGAUACUGCGGUGCUUGAGGACUGGAGAGGAGACUGGAAUUCAUGGCGUAGCAGUGAAAUGCGUAGAGAUCAUGAGGAAGACCAGUGGCGAAGGCGGGUCUCUGGACAGUUCCUGACACUGAGGCACGAAGGCCAGGGGAGCAAACGGG